rnacentral:rRNA from 1 species
GGCCGAUGAAUAUGUCAACAUGACACCUUCGAUCGAAGUCCGUUCCGUCCGUCGGUACCGCGUCGUUGUUCUACUUCUGCAGUAGUACAUGAUGGCGUUAACGGAGGAGGACCGACGGCGUGACGAUGAGGGAGAGGAGGAGGAGUUCUCCGAGUCCGCCGGCGCGCCCCUCUUGGAAGGAGGCCCCGGUACCGCCGACGGCCAGUAGCCGUCGGACGUGGUGGACCAGCCGUCCGACGGCGUGGCGAAGUACGCGCUGGAGCGGGCGGCCAUGCUGCGGGGCGAGUAUGACGAGGCGGACCCCCUCGAGCUGCAGCAGCACCGGAGGAGGCGACUGCGCCGCUCCCUCUAGGAGUUCUGGGUCCUGCGCCAGAAGCGGUGGGCGUACGUCUGCGGGUGGUAGGCGCGCGAGUGCCACCUGCCGCGGCCGUAGCGGGACCGCGGCGUGCCUCUCGUGACCGCCGUGCGGGCGUUCGAGCCGCAGUGGCUCGAGGAGCCGCGCGCCGGCCAGGUCAGGGAGGCGCCUAGGGCGCUCCGGCCGCAACGGCGGGAGCAGCGGAGGUAGCGGAGCCGCAGCCCCGGACACUUGCAGUCGAGGGAGGAGAGGUGGAUGUAGUAGCUGCACCGCCACGCGCGGGACCACCCGCUGGCUUAGCCCCUGCUGGAGGCGCCGCUUAAGGACCUCGCGGAGCCGCUCCCGCAGUCCGACCGGUGGCCCAAGCCGGAGCGGCUGGACAAGGGCAGCAGCGCGGAGCACGCACGGAAGUCACCGAGCGAUCCGGCCGACCUCCGCGAUCCGGCGCUCUGCUCGGCCCAGUACCUGGCUUAGUAGCUGUUCGUGGUCGUGCGGCCGCUGCUCCUUUUUCUGAAGCAGCUGCACUACGAGUCCUAGGUCUUCUUACUGCCGUCGGAGGUACGACCUUGGUACGCACGGUACUAAUGGCUGGACAAGCCCCGUCGCUCACUGUGGAGCCGCUGCUGCGAGCUUACCCGCUACCGGCUCGAGUACCCCUCGGGCCGCCGCGAAGCCUCCCCUCCCGCGUCAGCCUCCACGCACGGCGGGAGCGGCCCCUCUGGGCGCAGGCUCUCCUCCGGGACGGCCUCGACGUGAUGGACGCAGAGCACGAGUUCCUCUGCGAGGCCGACGUGGGCCGCCGCGGCGACGACGAGGGCGCCCUCACGGGCCUCAGGGCUGUACAGGAGCCGAUGUGGCACGGGUUCCCGCGGUACCACGAGCAGUUGCGCACCCGGUAGCCGGCCCUGCGCCGCUGGACCCCGCGGCUGCGGCUCCUCAAAUCCGGCCUCUCCAAGCUUCUCCUCCGCCGCGACCUGAAGUUCCCUUGGUUGAAGUUCAAGCACGGCAAGCCGCGGCCGGCCUCCUACACGGGAUCCUAGCGGAAACCGGAACGCCAGCACCUCGAGCGUGACCGGUCGAAGGAGAAGGUAAAGCUGACCCUCGAGGGGCGGCCACCCGACCUAUACCUCCUCGUCGAGCCCCAGUGCCGGUCCUCCUUCCCGUUGGAGACCGACGUACGGUGUUAGGCGCACGGACGAGGACACGGACGUGAUAUCUGUGAGUCGUCCGAAUAAGCAGACACCAAUAAUGUCUUAACAUCACGAAGCCGGCACUUUUAAUCAGUGGUUCCUUUAUUCAACCAAUAUAAGGUGUUAACACACGGACGUGGACCAGGUAUCUAUAAGGUAGCACAUGAACAGUAAAAUAAAACUGGUACACGUAAAUGGUGGCUCUUUUAGUUCGUCUGAUCAGACGGACCCGUUCACCACUUCUGUUGUCUACUGCUGAAGC